GAUGAACGCUGGCGGCGUGCCUAAUACAUGCAAGUCGAGCGAACGGACGAGAAGCUUGCUUCUCUGAUGUUAGCGGCGGACGGGUGAGUAACACGUGGAUAACCUACCUAUAAGACUGGGAUAACUUCGGGAAACCGUAGCUAAUACCGGAUAAUAUUUUGAACCGCAUGGUUCAAAAGUGAAAGACGGUCUUGCUGUCACUUAUAGAUGGAUCCGCGCUGCAUUAGCUAGUUGGUAAGGUAACGGCUUACCAAGGCAACGAUGCAUAGCCGACCUGAGAGGGUGAUCGGCCACACUGGAGCUGAGACACGGUCCAGACUCAUAGGGGAGGCAGCAGUAGGGAAUCUUCCGGACUGGGCGAAAGCAUGACGGAGCCACAGCGCGUGAGUGAUGACGGUCUUCGGAUCGUACAACUCUGUUAUUAGGGAAGAACAUAUGUGUAAGUAACUGGGCACAUCUUGACGGUAUCUACUCAGAAAGCCACGGCUAAUUACGUG
rnacentral:rRNA from 1 species